rnacentral:rRNA from 1 species
CCUACGGGAGGCAGCAGUGAGGAAUAUUGGUCAAUGGACGAGAGUCUGAACCAGCCAAGUAGCGUGAAGGAUGACUGCCCUAUGGGUUGCAAACUUCUUUUAUAUGGGAAUAAAAUGUCCCACGCGUGGGAUUUUGUAUGUACCAUAUGAAUAAGGAUCGGCUAACUCCGUGCCAGCAGCCGCGGUAAUACGGAGGAUCCGAGCGUUAUCCGGUUUUAUUGGGUUUAAAGGGUGCGUAGGUGGGUUGUUAAGUCAGUUGUGAAAGUUUGCGGCUCAACCGUAAAAUUGCAGUUGAAACUGGCAGUCUGGAGUACAGUAGAGGUGGGCGGAAUUCGUGGUGUAGCGGUGAAAUGCUUAGAUAUCGCGAAGAACUCCGAUUGCGAAGGCAGCUCACUGGACUGCAACUGACACUGAGGCUCGAAAGUGUGGGUAUCAAACAGGAUUAGAUACCCUUGUAGUC